GUACUAAAUCCACUUCCAGGCAGGAUGCCAUUCUUGAGUUUGGGUUUUUUGGGGGAUGGGGAGGCAUUUCUCUCUCUAGUAAGAACUUCUGACUUUAAAGCUACUGCUGUCAUUGGAGGAAAGAAAAGAGCUUUGUCUUCCCCCUGCCCCCCCCCCCAGCAGUUUAAGUUGUUAAGAGGUGUCAAUGUAAUACUUAUACAUCCCCUUUUUAUCUUGGCUUCACUAAGAGAUGUUUCAGCUACUGUACUUGGAACAAUUGCAUCUGUAUUUUGGAUCCUCCUUCAUUAACAGCUUCAAGGACCAUCUUUGUUGAAACUGCUGUUAAUGCUUAUUGGUUUCUCAAAAUGAGCAGUGAGACUUAAUUUCAGUUAACUAUUCUUGGGGAAAAAAACCCCAGAGCUUUGGAUUAGGACUUCCUAAUGGUGUCUUGUGUAACAGGUGUUUGACAAAAAGAUUUUUCUAGCCUCAGUCAAGCUCCUUGGGUAAAAAAAAUCCUUUCAAGUUUUAAAACCCAAUUCAAACUCCUUGAAGGAGAAAAACUACACUGUGAAUUUUACAUUCCACUUCAUUAGGAACAGAAUUUGUCAUCUAUUGUUCAAUUAGAGUUUUAACGACAAUACUUGAUUGCUUACCUCUAAUGAUAAGAAGUGUAUCACAGUUGCUUUUGGCAGAUCUACCUGUAAAAAUAUCAUCAAGAAACCAAUACUUAACAGUUCUUCUGUUAUCAGUUUGCCAAUUAGAGAUUAGCUAUACUGAAAGGAGUCAGACUUUUUGAUUUCCAAAGAAGCACUCGUGCUGACAGAAUUGGGAAUUUGCCAAGGUUUUAAGCAUUUUAAACAAAGUGUUCAUGACAGAUUCUGUUAUGGAAAGUUCCAAACAGGCGUAGGCAAAUAGGCAGUAUGUUUCCUGAAAAGCAUAUACCAUUUUAAAGUCCUUUGUGACACGGUCAGCAAAGUCUAAAAGCUAUAUACAAACAAAAGCUAUGUUGGUUUAAAUGUAAGAGCAAAUCUAGCAGACCAAGUUACCAAAUCUACAGUAGUUAGCAUAAGUACAGCUUAAGAAUUUACAACUAAAUACUUGUUAGGUUUUGUUCUAUGCAACUCUCCAAUACACACAGUUUGAGAUACUUUUCAGGUGUUAAGGAACCAUGCCAUAGGUCUUAUUUAAUCAGAAGUUUGGUUCAUUUGGUAUCUCUAAAGUAAGGCUAUUGGCAGUAGUUUGUUCCAGAUAGCAACUGCAUCAUCCAAUUCAGUUAAGAGAUUUGAAAUUAAUUCAGGCUUCUGCCAAAUACUUACUGCUAAAAUCUCGAUCUCGCUUGUUUUCUGUUGCAGGCUAGAAAUGAAUGUCUGAAGUCUUGUUUGCACCUGGCAACAAAAGAUGGGCAAAUGUAAAAUAAACUGCUUCUGUGACACAGGUAACUUUUCAGAGAAAUGUGAGAAUCUGUGACUGGAUACAGUGAAUCAUCUCUAGCUGAAGAAGGAUGACUGAUUUGAAAGCCAAACCAAAGUACAGGUCAUGCCUUGUAACACUUUUUUGCAGAGCAAGCUAAUAAUCCUGCAAAGGUAGCACUUUACAAAUGUAGUUGCAGCCUUGCGCUAUGUUGUCUUUUGUAUCUUGCAAAGAUGCUUUUAUAUAUUAAAAACCUGAAAACAGCAAGUCUGUUUAGCUCAACACUCAGAGAAUAACAUCCAGUUCUUUAUUUGGGUUCUGAGAACUAUUUAUAGGCAGGAUUUUUUUGUUGCACACCCAAAUUUGGACUGAAAAGGAGUAAGAUUACAGUUCUGUUUUACCAUGUACUCUAAAUAUCUUGAAGCCAAUAAUCCUAAAUGAGCAAACUCUGACAUUUGUUGCUAGCAUAAUUUAAUCUUUUCUACAUUAUUGUAAUAUCACAUUUUAGGCAGGGUUGUGUUUUUUUUUUGUUGGGGUUUUUGUUUUUGUUUUUCUUUAAAUCUGCAAGUUUUUCUUAGGCCUUUGAGACAACAUAAUGAAAUACAUAGAGUAUCUGUUACAAACAUAUUACAAAUGAAAAGUAUGCUGAACUUGCACCUUUAACACAGUUCAGCAUUUAUAUAAAAAAAGGAAAAUUCCAGAACCACAGUCCCUACUAAAAUAAGAUUUCUAAUAUGUAUGUACAAUGAUGGCUGAGCCACAAUGUCACAGAUAAUCCCCAAGAUCCAAAACGUUAAAAAAUGGUAGUCUUUGCCUUCAAACUUUUGUGUUGUUCAUCGUCUGUUUUAUGAAUAAAGAACAAACAGGAUGUAUUUGUGUAAGUUAGGUGAUAGUGAAAAUAUGAAUUCUACCAUUCCUUCACUUUUAAGGAUCACUUCUUAAUACUUAUUUGAUGUGUGUGUACCUGAAUUUCUUGACGACGCCUAGCACUGGCAGAUAAUUUUUCAGAAGCUAUAACACUAACAUUAGGCACAAGAGUUCCAUGUGAUUCAAAUACACCUAAAAUGCAAACAUAUAGUUUUAGAUUAUAUUCUUUCUUUAUACAAGAAGUAGCAAGAAAUAGAAAAUUUACAAAUAUUAAUAAGCUAAGAUCUGUAUAGUGUAGGUUUUGAAAAGCUGCAAAAAACCCCCCAAAGUCAGUCAAGUAAACAGGAUAGUGAAAAUGUGCAUGUAAAUUCUCAAACGCUCACUUAUGACUUUGAAGGACUGGUUGGUAAGACUAAGAAAUUUGGUAUUUUACAUCAGUGUUCCCUGAAACUAAUAGAGGAAUGUAGCAUACCUAACACCAAAAAAAGAAAAGCUGUUACAAGAAUGAGGCAACUAUUUAAUGCUCUGUCCCUUAGCAGAGUUAAUGACAAAACAAACAAUAAACCCCAGCUCCCCCAAAUAACAAUAAAUUUUGAAAUGGCUUACUUUGACAUCCAAAUUGCCACUUCUGGUAAGCACACACAAAAAAAACCCAAACCAAGUUAAGCAUGGCCACCUCUCUCCCUCACUGUUAUGCAAGGGCGGGCAGGAAGUGUUUCUUUAAAAACAACCACCACCGCUACCACACACUGUAUCAGUACCUAAUAAAAUAAUUACCAAAAAUGCCAAACUUUAUCCACACAACAAGUACUUAAUAUUAUUCUUUAUAUGCAAACUUCUAUUAUCAGACUAAGGAGUGCAAAUCUGUAGCUAGAAAUGUAAAGGCAUUUUCAUUUGAAGAAAGAAAAUCUUAGUAGAACAGUAGGUCAAUGUACAUGGGUCUCAACACUGUAACAAUCACAGGUCAUGUCAUUUUUCAUCAAGAUGACAUUUAAUUUCUCCUCAGCUAGGAAAUGUUCAUGGUUUUUGGUUUUUCCCCCAUCCUGAAUCACUGCAUCAAUGAAUGCUUGUAUGGGGAAUACUCUGUCUGUUGGUCUGAGCACUCAUUUUGUUAGUUUGGAGAAAAUUUCAGUUUUAGAUCACUUGGAACAAGAUUUGAGAUUAGGAGGAAAUGUCUCUAACCAGAGGCACUGCUAGAAAACAUUUUCUUUCUCUGACUCUGGUAAUGCUUUUAAAAUUUAUGUUCCAGCAAUAUUUUCUUAUAAAACAGUUUUUAAGCAGAAAGAGAAAUGGUUUGUAUAUUCUAUAACUACAAAUUAAAUACCUGAAAUAUUAGUAAAUGAUCCCUUUUGAUUUGGUACUGAAAGAUUAUCUGAGGUUUCUCUAAAAAUAAACAAAGACAGUUAGGGAAACAAAUUUACAGUAACAAAGAAAUACUGUAAUAAGACAUGGUUUCAGAUUAUCAUACACACACACUUAUUUCAUUCCAACAGAUAAAGAAAUUUAUGGAUACUUCCCAGCACACAUCUGCAGAUUAAAUUCUAUUCUGGAACAGACAGGAAAUCAUACAACAUUACAUUACAAAAUCAGAUCUAGAAGCAAUCUUUGUGUGUCCUACGGAUAAAAAACCCAAUGUACUCCCCAUCACGCAAGAGUGAUUUAGAUCUUAAUACUAGAAGAUAUUAUGAGAAUAUUCUCUCUAAAUUAUUAAUUUAAUCUACAACUUCUUACAGGUUUCUGUGAGAUAAUACUAAAGUAUCAAAGUAAUAUUUAUACUUAAGAUCACACCUACUCAAAGAAGCUUUCAAUAAUUAGUUUGGAUCCCUUUACUUUCCACAUUCAGGAUUCAUUCAACAAAUAAAUUUGCCGGUGUUAAUACAAUCAUAGUUAUUGCAUUUCUCCGUUUAGUAUUACCAAAUACAGGUUUUUCUAUAAUCUGUUCUCAGGAUCUAAAAAUAAGGUAACUUUUAGAAAGAAUUAUUUUCUUUCACAGCUUCUGGUAGAUCCUGUAGGUUUGUCACAAAAGACAUGAAAAUCAGGUUAGUUGCAAAGUUACAAUGCCAAGACUGGCUGAGGCCAGAAAAAGGAGAAGGAAGAGGUGGGCAGCAGAAGUCAACCACCUGCACAAACUACUGCUUGAGUUAAGCACUUCCCAGCUUAACUAUUUCCUUUAUUGUUAACUCUUUUCAGAAAUACUACAGAUGUCAAAUCUGUUAGUUUCUGAACUCUAGUUUGUGUGACUAAACCAUGUCUGUUCCUGCUUCCAGUACGUACAUACAUACAUAUGUACACACAUAUAAAUAUAUACAGACAUGUGUAUAAUUAUACAUUUACAAAGGGAUAUGUGUGAAUAACAGCUAUUGCACACAGGUGUGACUGUAGCCUCUCCUGUGAUGUCUGUACUAACUUCUAUUAGUGACAAUAAAUAGUAAUUUCAACAAAGACAGGAUGAUGUGGUGUUGCUGUGUACCCCGAGUCUUUGCCAGGUGUUACUUUCAUUUGUGCCAGCCAAAGCGUACAUACAGCUGUGCUACAAUUACACCUUCAUUUUUACCGUAUCAACACUGCCUCAGAAUGAAAGGGAUUUACUGCUUUAAUUCUUUGAUUACACAGUACAUCAAUGUAAUGGACUUCUGGUCAGUAUCAGGGACUUGCAGGCAGUCCUGCCAUACAAACAAUACUGGUGUUCUAGUAGCAUUUGAGCUGGAUAACCACAUGGCCUUUUAAUUUAUGAAGCACUAACACUGUUUGAAUGUAACAGCAGCUAGGGAAAUCAGUCUCUUAGUCUCAAUAAAAUUCUGUAACCAAGCCCUUUGCUUUCUUUUCCCCUCAAAAGGGGAUUCAGCAAAGCUCUUACUCUUUAUCAAAUAAAAUCAAGAUUUAACU